rnacentral:rRNA from 1 species
CUCCUACGGGAGGCAGCAGUGGGGAAUAUUGCACAAUGGAGGAAACUCUGAUGCAGCGACGCCGCGUGAGUGAAGAAGUAGUUCGCUAUGUAAAGCUCUAUCAGCAGGGAAGAUAGUGACGGUACCUGACUAAGAAGCUCCGGCUAAAUACGUGCCAGCAGCCGCGGUAAUACGUAUGGAGCAAGCGUUAUCCGGAUUUACUGGGUGUAAAGGGAGUGUAGGUGGCCAGGCAAGUCAGAAGUGAAAGCCCGGGGCUCAACCCCGGGACUGCUUUUGAAACUGCAGGGCUAGAGUGCAGGAGGGGCAAGUGGAAUUCCUAGUGUAGCGGUGAAAUGCGUAGAUAUUAGGAGGAAC